UGGGGAAUAUUGCACAAUGGUCGCAAGCCCGAUGCAGCCAUGCUGCGUGUAUGAAUAAUGCCUUCGGGUUGUAAAUUAUUUUCAGCGAGUAGGAAGGUAUUAAGGUUAAUAACCUUAGUGAUUGACGUUACUCGCAGAAGAAGCACCGGCUAACUCCGUGCCAGCAGCCGCGUUAAUACGGAGGGUGCAAGCGUUAAUCGGAAUUACUGGGCGUAAAGCGCGCGUAGGCGGGCUGUUAAGUCAGAUGUGAAAUCCCGGAGCUCAACCUGGGAACUGCAUUUGAGACUGACAGGCUUGAGUCUGGUAGAGGUGAGUAGAAUUCCAGGUGUAGCGGUGAAAUGCGUAGAGAUCUGGAGGAAUACCAGUGGCGAAGGCGGCCCCCUGGACAGGGACUGACGCUCAGGUGCGAAAGCGUGGGGAGCAAACA
rnacentral:rRNA from 1 species